UACGAAGGGGGCUAGCGUUGUUCGGAAUUACUGGGCGUAAAGCGCGCGCAGGCGGUCUUCCAAGUCAGUGGUGAAAGCCCGGAGCUCAACUCCGGAACUGCCAUUGAAACUGUAAGACUUGAGGAUGAGAGAGGUGAGUGGAAUUCCCAGUGUAGAGGUGAAAUUCGUGGAUAUUCGGAAGAACACCAGUGGCGAAGGCGACACACUGGCUCAUUACUGACGCUGAGGCGCGAAAGCGUGGGGAGCAAACAGG
rnacentral:rRNA from 1 species